rnacentral:rRNA from 1 species
GACGAACGCUGGCGGCGUGCCUAAUACAUGCAAGUUGAGCGAUGAAGAUUGGUGCUUGCACCAAUUUGAAGAGCAGCGAACGGGUGAGUAACGCGUGGGGAAUCUGCCUUUGAGCGGGGGACAACAUUUGGAAACGAAUGCUAAUACCGCAUAACAACUUUAAACAUAAGUUUUAAGUUUGAAAGAUGCAAUUGCAUCACUCAAAGAUGAUCCCGCGUUGUAUUAGCUAGUUGGUGAGGUAAAGGCUCACCAAGGCGAUGAUACAUAGCCGACCUGAGAGGGUGAUCGGCCACAUUGGGACUGAGACACGGCCCAAACUCCUACGGGAGGCAGCAGUAGGGAAUCUUCGGCAAUGGACGAAGGUCUGACCGAGCAACGCCGCGUGAGUGAAGAAGGUUUUCGGAUCGUAAAACUCUGUUGGUAGAGAAGAACGUUGGUGAGAGUGGAAAGCCCAUCAAGUGACGGUAACUACCCAGAAAGGGACGGCUAACUACGUG